CCGGACGCAGGCUCAGCGGCCAUGGCUCACGGGCCCAGCCGCUCCGCGGCACGUGGGAUCCUCCCGGACCGGGGCACGAACCCGCGUCCCCUGCAUCGGCAGGCGGACUCUCAACCACUGCGCCACCAGGGAAGCCCUCACCAUCCUUAUUAAACCAAGUCAUGAUCAUAGCAGCGAGAAGCAAUGAUCCCUCUUUAAACACUAAGUAGAGUCCAAAUGCCUACAUUUCCACAGGUACCUCCAUAAUCACGCUGCUCCAGAGAAGUCAAGUUGUUCUUUCCACUGAAGACACGACUCACGCUCUCCCCUCUCCAUGCCUUUGACCCUACACUUGCCUCUGGGAGACUGUCCUUCUUUGAUGACCCCACAAGUCCCAUCUCACAGGCUGUUUGUCUUGGUUCCUGGUACUUGUUUACUGUGUCUUGUUUGCUCAUCAGCCCAGCUGACAAUAAGGACUCCUGUUUCUGAACUCUGGCAGAACUCCAACUGUAGCUUUCUUAAGGGGUCCCGGGUUCGAUCUCUGGUCAGGGAACUAGAUCCCACAUGCCCCAACUGAAAGAUGCCGCAUGCUGCAACGAAGAUCCCAAGCGCGGCAACUAAGACCUGGUGCAGCCAAAUAAAUAAAUAUUUU